rnacentral:misc_RNA from 1 species
UUUCCGUAGGUGAACCUGCGGAAGGAUCAUUAUCGAACAAAAUGUGAGGGGCAUGCGCGGGCUGUCGCUGACCCAAAAGUCGUGCACGCCCGAGUGUGUCCUCUUGCAUAAUACUCCAUCACACCCUUGGUGCAUCACCGCGCGGACAUCCUUCGGGAUCAUCUCGGACGAGCGCACGCGUUUUCACACAAACUCACCCUUUAAAAGUGUAAAAUCACCACAUUCAUGCCAUCAAAAAAACCAUCAACAAGGGAGCUCAUGGCUCUCACAUCGAUGAAC